rnacentral:rRNA from 1 species
AUUGAACGCUAGCGGGAUGCCUUACACAUGCAAGUCGAACGGCAGCACGGACUUCGGUCUGGUGGCGAGUGGCGAACGGGUGAGUAAUGUAUCGGAACGUGCCCAGUAGCGGGGGAUAACUACGCGAAAGCGUAGCUAAUACCGCAUACGCCCUACGGGGGAAAGCAGGGGAUCGCAAGACCUUGCACUAUUGGAGCGGCCGAUAUCGGAUUAGCUAGUUGGUGGGGUAACGGCUCACCAAGGCGACGAUCCGUAGCUGGUUUGAGAGGACGACCAGCCACACUGGGACUGAGACACGGCCCAGACUCCUACGGGAGGCAGCAGUGGGGAAUUUUGGACAAUGGGGGAAACCCUGAUCCAGCCAUCCCGCGUGUGCGAUGAAGGCCUUCGGGUUGUAAAGCACUUUUGGCAGGAAAGAAACGUCAUGGGUUAAUACCCCGU